rnacentral:rRNA from 1 species
AGAGUUUGAUCAUGGCUCAGGAUGAACGCUGGCGGCGUGCCUAACACAUGCAAGUCGAACGGGUGUGGUAUCAGGGAAAAGGGGUUUACUUCUUUGACCAGAUAACACACUAGUGGCGGACGGGUGAGUAACGCGUGGAUAACCUGCCUUAUACAGGGGGAUAACAGGGAGAAAUUCUUGCUAAUACCCCAUAGGUAUGUCUGACGCAUGUUGGACAUAUUAAAGCUUUGGCGGUAUAAGAUGGGUCCGCGUCUGAUUAGCUAGUUGGUGGGGUAAAGGCCCACCAAGGCGACGAUCAGUAGCCGGCUUGAGAGAGUGGACGGCCACAUUGGGACUGAGACACGGCCCAAACUCCUACGGGAGGCAGCAGUGGGGAAUAUUGCACAAUGGGGGAAACCCUGAUGCAGCGACGCCGCGUGAAGGAAGAAGGUCUUCGGAUCGUAAACUUCUAUCAGCAGGGAAGAAGGAAGUGACAGUACCUGAGUAAGAAGCCCCGGCUAACUACGUGCCAGCAGCCGCGGUAAUACGUAGGGGGCGAGCGUUAUCCGGAAUUACUGGGUGUAAAGGGUGCGUAGGCGGUAUGGCAAGUCAGUUGUGAAACCCCCUGGCUCAACCAGGGGCUUGCAAUUGAAACUGUCAUACUAGAGUGCAGGAGAGGAAAGCGGAAUUCCUAGUGUAGCGGUGAAAUGCGUAGAUAUUAGGAAGAACACCAGUGGCGAAGGCGGCUUUCUGGACUGUAACUGACGCUGAGGCACGAAAGCGUGGGGAGCGAACAGGAUUAGAUACCCUGGUAGUC